UAGCUGCGUUAAAUAGCGCGAAUUGCAGACACAUUGAGCGCUAAAAUUUCGAACGCAAAUUGCGCCAUCGGGUUCAUUCCCGUUGGCAUGCCCGUCCGAGGGUCGGAUACCCUAUGUUACCGAUAAGCUCGUUGGCUUAGGUUGUUCGCGCAGAGGUCUUCUGUUUGCGCGAAGCCCCUAGGUCGAAGAGUCGGUUAGUCGGAGCGCUACUAUGUUAUGUAGUACCGUUCUCAGAUGAAACAGUUCUCUCGAACUUGCGUGCUUGCGCCUCAAAAACGCUACAACGCAGUGCUUGACAUGGUGGCUAAGGCCGGAUUCGCGCCGCACAUUGCGUCGAAUCGACAAGCGCCGCUAUUCCACCGUCUCGCGCAUUCAUCAAUUGACCUCGGAUCGGACAUGA
rnacentral:misc_RNA from 1 species